rnacentral:rRNA from 1 species
CCUACGGGAGGCAGCAGUGAGGAAUAUUGGUCAAUGGGCGCGAGCCUGAACCAGCCAAGUCGCGUGAGGGAUGAAGGUUCUAUGGAUCGUAAACCUCUUUUAUAAGGGAAUAAAGUGUGGGACGUGUCCUAUUUUGUACGUACCUUAUGAAUAAGGAUCGGCAAACCCGGGGCCAGCAGCCGCGGUAAUACGGAGGAUCCGAGCGUUAUCCGGAUUUAUUGGGUUUAAGGGGUGCGUAGGGGGCCUUUUAAGUUAGCGGUGAAAGUCUGUGGCUCAACCAUAGAAUUGCCGUGGAAAUUGGGAGCUAGAGUAUGUUAGAGGCAGGCGGAAUGCGUUGUGUAGCGGUGAAAUGCUUAGAUAUCACGCAGAACCCCGAUUGCGAAGGCAGCCUGCCAGGCCAUUACUGACGCUGAUGCACGAAAGCGUGGGGAUCAAACAGGAUUAGAUACCCGGGUAGUC